rnacentral:rRNA from 1 species
GGCGGGUUGUUAAGUCAGUGGUGAAAGUUUGUCGCUUAACGAUAAAAUUGCCAUUGAAACUGACAGUCUUGAGUACAAAUGAGGUAGGCGGAAUGUGUAGUGUAGCGGUGAAAUGCUUAGAUAUUACACAGAACACCGAUUGCGAAGGCAGCUUACUAGCAUGUAACUGACGCUGAGGCACGAAAGUGUGGGUAUCAAACAGGAUUAGAUACCCUGGUAGUCCACACAGUAAACGAUGAAUACUGACUGUUUGUCUGUACAGAUAAGUGGUUAAGCGAAAGCGUUAAGUAUUCCACCUGGGGAGUACGUCGGCAACGAUGAAACUCAAAGGAAUUGACGGGGGCCCGCACAAGCGGAGGAACAUGUGGUUUAAUUCGAUGAUACGCGAGGAACCUUACCCGGGCUUGAAAUGCAGAAGACCGACGAAGAAAUUCGUUUUCCAGCAAUGGCUUCUGUGUAGGUGCUGCAUGGUUGUCGUCAGCUCGUGCCGUGAGGUGUCGGCUUAAGUGCCAUAACGAGCGCAACCCUUGUCAAUAGUUACCAGCAUGUAGUGAUGGGGGCUCUAUUGAGACUGCCACCGUAAGGUGUGAGGAAGGUGGGGAUGACGUCAAAUCAGCACGGCCCUUACGUCCGGGGCGACACACGUGUUACAAUGGGGAGUACAGAGGGUUGCUACUUGGUGACAAGAUGCUAAUCUCCUAAAACUCUUCUCAGUUCGGAUCGGAGUCUGCAACUCGACUCCGUGAAGCUGGAUUCGCUAGUAAUCGCGCAUCAGCCAUGGCGCGGUGAAUACGUUCCCGGGCCUUGUACACACCGCCCGUCAAGCCAUGGAAGCUGGGGGUACCUGAAG